rnacentral:lncRNA from 1 species
CUUACCUCUGCGAUGCGGAUGGAGGUCUGGAGCUGCUGAGAGGCGUCGCUGCGAGCACUCAGCCCCUCACACAAGCUCGCAGGGUCGUCUGUCUCCAACAGCCUGUUCGUGGCCUUGGCUGCAACGAGCACGGGGAGAAAAGGGGAGUCCCACUUAGGGCAACUGAACUUCCCUUCCCAGCCUUUGCUGAAGGCCAGGGGAGUCAGUCUUGAACUCGCUGCAGCGGGAUGGCCCUUGCCAGGUUCCCGCUAGGGCCAGGCGGGGCAGAGGGCCGGCAGGCGCCUGCUCUACUCACACUCACCUUGGAUGUGGAGAAGGGAGCUGAGGCAGGCAGCGGCCAGCUGGCGGGAGCUGCUCGUGGGCUCACAGGUCAGAGGCCCCAGCAAUCCCGCCAAGGUGCCAAACGGCAGGUAGGCACCUCUUGUCUGCAGGGGCGAGAGGAAGAACAAGGGCUGGAGGUGGCCCCAGCACUCCCUUGCGUCUCCCAGCUGCGCCCUGCUCAGGCCAGGACUGGGCACAGGGGCCACCCCAGAGCGCUGCGCUGGGGGACCCCACAGCCCGUGCACAGCUGGGCAGAGCUGCCCUGCCAGGCCCCCUUGCAGCUGGGGGCACACGCUGGGCAUCCUUCCUCACCUGAAAAGCCACUCCAUCUCUGCAGUCCUCCAGCAGCUGGGCGCAGACCUGCAGGGCUUUCUUGCACACCCACGGAUCGUCCGAGGAGAGCCAGAACCACAGCACCUGGGGCAAAGCAGCUCUGUCUGCCAAGGGGCAUCUUUCCCUUCCCACCAUCCCUCUCCAUUUCCCUCCCUUCCUGGCACUUUCCCUGCGGCACUGCCCCACUCUCUUCAGACGCACCUGCUCCCACCCAGGAGCUUUUCCCUGCAGCCAGCUCCCUGCUGCAGCCAGCCAGGGGCUGCCUCUUGGCUUUCCCCCAUGCAGGGCCCACUUCUUGGCCUCCCCGAGCUCACAGUCACCUGGCAUGGCAGCAGGAGGUUCCUGCUCCUCUGCUAAUUCCCCACUGGUGACAGGAGGGACGCUUGCCCCAGCGCCCCAUGGAUACUCACCUCGGCGAUGU